rnacentral:rRNA from 1 species
UACGAAGGGGGCUAGCGUUGUUCGGAAUUACUGGGCGUAAAGCGCACGUAGGCGGCUUUCUAAGUCAGGGGUGAAAUCCUGGAGCUCAACUCCAGAACUGCCUUUGAUACUGGAGAGCUUGAGUCCGGGAGAGGUGAGUGGAACUCCGAGUGUAGAGGUGAAAUUCGUAGAUAUUCGGAAGAACACCAGUGGCGAAGGCGGCUCACUGGCGCGGUACUGACGCUGAGGUGCGAAAGCGUGGGGAGCAAACAGG